CUCCAAUAGCUAAGGAAAUGCUUCCAGAAACAUGCACAUCGGGGGGCCCCUUUUGGCUCCUUCAGACCUCAGCCCAGAGAACCAGAGAAGGGUCAGAGACGCACGAGGGAGAGGCUGAACUCACACUUACCUUUGACCAGUAGAAGAGGUGGUGGUUGAUUUUUUCGCUCUCCUACUCUCCCAGAGGAGGCCCCGGUCCGAGCCAGCGCUGGCGGGCUGCGGCUGCUGAAACUAGAGUUCCUGUGGCCAGAAUGGUGCCCCUUGCCCGCUCCAGGGCUUCAGAGAAGAGCGAGCCCGGCCCGGGGCUAGGGUGUCCGGCCUGCCCCGCGAAGGCGCGCUGGGCCUGGAGACUUUGCGCUCUUCACUUCGCCAGACGAGAGUUUAGCCCGGGGCCCGUCCGCGACACCUGGCCUCCGGCGGUUUUCGGGACCCUCUCUCAAAACUGCGCGAGCGCCGAGAUCACUCUGGUAUUAGCUCCCUUUAGAUGAGGAAGGCAUUGUAUCUUUCUAAGGGGGUCUCUCAGACCUAAGUUAUUUUGGUCUGCAGUGGUAGUAAUGGCCUUGAAUUUGUUUAAACUUACUGCCCACGACACCCUCUCCCCAAAUCCCCCUACACCCACACAGUACGCUCCAUCACGGCCACCACCACUCCCACUCCAUUUGCAUUUGAAAACCUCUGGAAACAUAAGCGCUUUCAGGAUGAACUCUCUCUCUCUCUCUCACUCUCUCUCUCUCUCACUGUCUCUCUCUCUCUCUCUCUCUCUCACACACACACACACACACACACACACACACACACAGCCCGCCAAGUGGAAACUGAGUUGAGUCAUAGGAUGCAUAUGAAUAGGAUUGGAUGGUCCUUUGCUUCUGCGGAUAAGAAUGUUUAAUAACCCAGGAUUCCGGG
rnacentral:lncRNA from 10 species